CCCAGACCCGUUUGUCCAGCUGCCUGGGAGAGGCAGGGUACCACAGAGGAGCUGGCAUCCCGAGAAAGGAUGCCACCACCAGCUGGUCCCUUCCAGAGCUCUGUCUGAACUCCACCAGCCUUGCUUCUGGCCUCAUCCUGCAGACCCAGGGGACACCUCCACUUGCAAGUUCAGUCCAUGGGCACUGCACACUCUCUCGGCCCCAAGUUGAACCCCUUUUCCUCACCCAACAUCCUCCAUUUCAACAAAUGGCAGCGUUGUGGGUAAAAUAACACCUCCUUCAGAGACAUUGACAUCCUCAUCCCUGACUUCGGCUGCAGCUCAGUGGUGCAAUCUCAGCUCAUUGCAACUUCCACCUCCCAGGAUGAAGCAAUCCUCCCACCUCAGCCUCUCCAGUAGCUGAGACUUCAAGCUCCCUCCAGCAGCCGAGCUGAUUUUUGUAUUUUUUUAUAGAGAUGGGGUUUCACCAUGUUGCCCAGGCUGGUGUCAAAUCCCUGGGCUCAAGUAAUCUGCCCACCUCGACCUCCCAAAGUGCUGGGAUUGCCUGCGUGAGCCCCAUCCCCGGCCUGCUCAUUUCCUUCUAGUGCUGAAGAAUAUUCCGAUGUCUGGAUAGACCACAGUUUGUCUGUCCACUCACCUCUAGGCAGACAUCUUGGUUGCUUCCAGUUUUUAGUGACGGUGAAUAAAACUGCUCUAAACAUUCGUGUGCAGGUGUUGGUGUGAACAUAAGUUUUCAACUCAUUUAUCGAGUGGCUGCACCGUUUUGCAGUUCCGCCAGCAACGCAUGAGACUUCCUGUUGCCGCACGCCCACCCCGGCAUUUGGCGUUGUCAGUGUUUUGGAUUUUGGCCAUUCU
rnacentral:lncRNA from 1 species